CGUAGGGUCCAAGCGUUGUCCGGAUUUAUUGGGCGUAAAGAGUUCGUAGGUGGUCGCUUAAGUCUGAUGUUAAAUACCGAAGCUUAACUUCGGCAUGGCAUUGGAAACUGGGCGGCUGGAGUCCGUCAGAGGUAACUGGAAUUCCUGGUGUAGCGGUGAAAUGCGUAGAUAUCAGGAGGAACACCCGUGGCGAAAGCGAGUUACUGGGACGGUACUGACACUGAGGAACGAAAGCCUGGGGAGCGAAAGGGAUUAGAUACCCCUGUAGUCCAGGCCGUAAACGAUGGAUACUAGGUGUUGGUGGAUUCGACCCCAUCAGUGCCGCAGUUAACGCGAUAAGUAUCCCGCCUGGGGAGUACGACCGCAAGGUUG
rnacentral:rRNA from 1 species